UAUAAAUAUUAAGAUAUGAAAGACAACCCUCUUUACAGAUAGUUGCUCUGAUAGUAUAUUAGAAUACAUUUGGUGUUGUAUUUCGUAGUAUACUAGAAUACACUUGGUGUUGUAUUUUAAAAAUAUCAAGAAUGAAGAGAGAUUAUCAUCUUGUAACAUUUAUUUGUUUACUUACGAUUGUGAGUGCUGGUAUAGAGAUCAACUCACACAAUAAAUGUUUAUUUUUCAAGGGUACUUUUUUAAAUAAUAGAAUCUUGUCAAAUGUUGAUUUGGGUUACACGUAUAUUUCUUCAUGUCAAAGAACAAGUAACAGCGAUGGUGAUUGGGUAAAGAUCAUGUCGUCCUCAACUUGGUAUGAAAAGCCUGCUGGAAAUGGAAAUAUCUAUAUAUGUGUUGAACGUGUAGACAUUUGUUUGGGCCUAGACAUUAAUUGGGCUAAGUUGCGAAUUGAAGCCGUCGCAAAAAAGUUUAACGAAAAAGACAUCGCUCAACAAUGGAAACUU
rnacentral:lncRNA from 1 species